GUCACUUUGGCGGAGUGGUUAACGCGCUGCCCUGCUAAGUGCAGCGCCCCUUAGCAGUAUUAGUUAGGCAGUUCCUUCGGGAGCGUAGGUUCGAAUCCUACAGGUGACG
rfam:Thielavia terrestris NRRL 8126 chromosome 3, complete sequence.